rnacentral:RNase_P_RNA from 22 species
GGAGCCGGACGGGCUGUCGUCGCGGGCCGCAAGGCCCGGGGAGGAAAGUCCGGGCUCCGCAGGGCAGGACGCUGGGUAACCCCCAGGACGAGCGAUCGUCGGACAGGGCCACAGAAAACAGACCGCCCGGCAGGUUCGCCUGCCGGGUAAGGGUGAAACGGUGGGGUAAGAGCCCACCAGCUGGCGCGGUGACGCACCAGGCUCGGUAACCCCCGUCCGGAGCAAGACCAAAUAGGGAAGCGUACGAGGCCUGCCCGGCCCAUGCUUCCGGGUCGGUUGCUUGAGGGCGUCGGUAACGGCGCUCCUAGAGGAAUGACAGCCACCCGCAAGGGUACAGAACCCGGCUUACAGUCCGACUCCCGAA